CCCAGCGGCCCCAAUGCUGGCUGCCGAGGCCGUGAUGCUGCAAAGAGAAGGCAGCUGUGCAAUUCAGACCAGCGUGUUUGCAUGGCAAACAUGAAGACAACUGUCCCACAGGAACUGGGAUGAGGAAUGGAGGAAGAAGAACAGGCUGAAGAAAGGAAACCACGGAAAGGAAGUCGAUGGGCUUGUGACAGACUCUGGGAGGCAGGGACUGCAUUUGGGAAAGGCUCUGGAUGCAGCACGGUGGCCCCAGCCCUGGGCACAGACCGUGGGGCUGGGACAAGGAGCAGGGUGUUCUCCCUGAGGCAGCUCUCUCUCCCUUAGCUGGCUGCAGAGCAGAGGGAGGAGAAGCCUGACAGAAACAGAGCUGGAGACCCAGGUCCAGGUCAUGAAGAGUUGCAGAAGCAAGAGUUGCAGCGGUGGGCACUGGGGAAGGGAGGCACAGUCUAGGUGGUUUUAUUGGGAUUAUGGGGAGGAGCAACAGGCAGGCCAGAAAAACCCUUUGCCUGGUCAAAUGUUCUCCAGGAAAAUGUUUGAAUUUGUGUGUCUUCUGGAAGGGGUGGUAGUUUAUAGUGUGAAGGGUUUUUUCAUUGUUAUAAGGAAAGUAUUUCAAUGAAAAUAGAAUAGAUAAAUAUAAUCUAAAUUGAUUAAAGUCUUUUCAAAAUAGGCAAGAUUUUUCUGUGGAUGAACUUGGGAUACACUGUAGUUGAUGUUAGAUUGUCAGUAAAGUGUUCAGAAGAGCUUUAACCCCAUGCAGUUUAUAAAGCACCUACAGUCCUAGUUUGAAUGCAUGGAAAGAAAACUGCAGCAAUUUAAUGAAGUGUGCAUGCACACACAAAAACAUUGCUGGUUUGCUCUGGGAAAACCCUGGGAGAGGGUGAGUGGAAGAGCACCACGAGCUGCCCAGGUCUGUCACCCAGGGCAGGGGCAAGCGUCUGCUUCCUCCUAAACCAGGAGCAUUCUCAUUUCAAAUAGUGCUGGAGUGUAAUUUUCCUUUGAGUCACACCUGUCCUCCCAGAGCUCACCUGGCCGGACACAGCCAUGUCUCUCUUGCUAAACCAGAUCCCUGCUCUGUGGUAUCUGCAGGUUCCAGCCACGUUUUCCUACCUGGAGGAUGUAGCUAAGGCGAUCAGCAAGGCUUGCAGUAUUCCCUGAAUGAAAGCAAAGGGGUUUUUCUUGGUGAUGAGCACAAAAAGCAGAGGUAAGAGGAGGAUUCCGUGGAAGGCAAGCCCUGACACUACUGUAAUGACAUACAGUCCCAGCUUCUGUCCUAUAAUGGAUGGAUCUUCCAUCUCCAAGAUCUUUCCAGCUAUGAGAAAUACAAUGCCAAAGGGAAAGUACCUGCAAAGAAUAAGCAUAAAAAAUUAUGAGGAUGCAGCAAUCACUGGAGCACUGCAGGACAGACAUUGCAGUGUUUGGUACUGUGUGGUACAGUCGUACGAAAGCAAAUUCAGUCCUCACAACACACACUUGCAGACGUGCAACCGGCAUUGCCAUCAGAUAGCAGGAAAGAAAAUCAAUCAAUCAAUGAAUCAAUCAAAACCAGAUUUACCAAACGGCCAUCGAGACAAUUUUCAUCACUGCUUCGUUCAGACACUGGCACACGUUAACCAGCGGGGCUCCUCGCUCGCCCAUUUUUCCCAGGAGAAGUCCUGCAACCAAGCACAGCAGGUUGCAUUACUUGGGAGCACCACGGGAGCAGCACCUGUCAAGCCGAGUGUCUUGAGGGUCUGGUGGCCACAGAAUGGGGCUCACCGGGCAAAACCUGAUUUCGUACAGGUUGCCAUGUGCUCUUAGGAGUCACGGCCAUUCUUUGCUCCAAGCAAAUACAAGCACCUGGCUUGUGUUCCUGGCAUUUUCUCACAAAGCCCCACCAGACCCAAAUCCAGGAUUUGGACUCUUCCUUGCACAGAAAACAGAUGAACUUCACUGCUGCUCAAUGCUGGAAGAGUCAUUUCCUGGGAUGGAUAAACUGUGGAUUAGCUGGAUUAAGUGGAUAUCUGGAUUGCUAUAAUUGCUGGAUUGCUUUGGUAAUACAAGAAUAAGGAAUUCUGGAAAUAAAAAUGGAAUUCUUUUAAGGA